AUGGCUCAGGAUGAACGCUAGCUACAGGCUUAACACAUGCAAGUCGAGGGGCAGCAUGGUCUUAGCUUGCUAAGGCUGAUGGCGACCGGCGCACGGGUGAGUAACGCGUAUCCAACCUUCCCCUUAGUAGGGCAUAGCCCGGCGAAAGUCGGAUUAACACCCUAUGUUUUCCGUUGCGGGCAUCUAAUAUGGAACAAAGAUUUAUCGCUAAGGGAUGGGGAUGCGUCUGAUUAGGUAGUAGGCGGGGUAACGGCCCACCUAGCCCUCGAUCAGUAGGGGUUCUGAGAGGAAGGUCCCCCACAUUGGAACUGAGACACGGUCCAAACUCCUACGGGAGGCAGCAGUGAGGAAUAUUGGUCAAUGGCCGAGAGGCUGAACCAGCCAAGUAGCGUGCAAGGGACGACGGCCCUAUGGGUUGCAAACUGCUUUUAUGCGGGGAUAAAGUCGCCCACGUGUGGGUGUUUGCAGGUACCGCAUGAAUAAGGACCGGCUAAUUCCGUGCCAGCAGCCGC
rnacentral:rRNA from 1 species